GACGAACGCUGGCGGCGUGCUUAACACAUGCAAGUCGAACGAUGAACCCGGAGCUUGCUCCGGCGGAUUAGUGGCGAACGGGUGAGUAACACGUGAGUAACCUGCCCUUGACUCUGGGAUAACUGCUAGAAAUGGUAGCUAAUACCGGAUACGACCCUCGGUGGCAUCACCAGGGGGUGGAAAGAAUUUCGGUCAAGGAUGGACUCGCGGCCUAGCAGAUAGUUGGUGAGGUAACGGCUCACCAAGGCGACGACGGGUAGCCGGCCUGAGAGGGUGACCGGCCACACUGGGACUGAGACACGGCCCAGACUCCUACGGGAGGCAGCAGUGGGGAAUAUUGCACAAUGGGCGCAAGCCUGAUGCAGCAACGCCGCGUGAGGGAUGACGGCCUUCGGGUUGUAAACCUCUUUUAGUAGGGAAGAAGCGAAAGUGACGGUACCUGCAGAAAAAGCACCGGCUAACUACGUGCCAGCCGCCGCCGUAA
rnacentral:rRNA from 1 species